UGAUAUUAGGACAGUCUUGAUUUCCAGUUUAUUCUUUUGGGGUUUUCUAUUGAGCUCAUGACCAAAGAAACAGAGUGACAUGCAGUAGAGCACGGAGCAGCACAAUGAACAGCUGGUACUGGACUGCACCUGAGGAUUGCUUUGUCUACAGCAAAAGCAUGAGCAAAUGAUGUCCAGGAUCUGUGUCUCUCCUUACACCAUCAAGACUGCAGGGACACUGGGGCCAGGUAUGAAGAGCAGUCCCUCUACUGCUGCCAGUGCUUCACAGCUCAACACCUACCUAUGGUUGUAGGCAAGACAGUGUCACCUGGGACAAGCUACGCUGCUGCAGUCAUGCUGCUGUCACUGCCAGUGAUGAGUCGCAUAUGCCUACCUGUGCUGCAGCCGUGUCUCCAUGCAAACUUAUUCCUCAAGACUUCAGUUUUCUCAACGUUUCCUUCUCAGCAGGGAACACAAUUUGCAUUUGACAUGCAGCACUAGGCCAGCACAGCCUGGCUUUGUUU
rnacentral:lncRNA from 1 species